rnacentral:rRNA from 1 species
CAGAGGUUACUGCUAUCGAGAUUCGACUAASCCAUGCGAGUUGAAUGUUCUUCGUGAACAUGGCGGACUGCUCAGUAACACGUGGACAACCUACCCUUGGGUCCGGCAUAAUCCUGGGAAACUGGGAAUAAUUCCGGAUAGGUCACCGAUGCUGGAAUGCGCGGUGGCCGAAAGCUCCGGCGCCCGAGGAUGGGUCUGCGGCCUAUCAGGGUUGUAGUGGGUGUAACGUACCUACUAGCCUACGACGGGUACGGGUUGUGAGAGCAAGAGCCCGGAGAUGGAUUCUGAGACACGAAUCCAGGCCCUACGGGGUGCAGCAGGCGCGAAAACUUUACAAUGCGGGAAACCGUGAUAAGGGGAUCUCGAGUGCCAGCAUAUAAUGUUGGCUGUCCAGAUGCCUAAAAAGCAUCUGUUAGCAAGGGCCGGGCAAGACCGGUGCCAGCCGCCGCGGUAACACCGGCGGCCCGAGUGGUAACCGCUAUUAUUGGGUCUAAAGGGUCUGUAGCCGGCCAGGUAAGUCCCUUGGGAAAUCUGGCAGCUCAACUGUCAGGCUGCUAGGGGAUACUGUUUGGCUUGGGACCGGGAGAGGUGAGAGGUACCUUGGGGGUAGGGGUGAAAUCUUGUGAUCCUCGAGGGACCACCAGUGGCGAAGGCGUCUCACCAGAACGGGUCCGACGGUAAGGGACGAAAGCUAGGGGCACGAACCGGAUUAGAUACCCGGGUAGUCCUAGCCGUAAACGAUGCUCGCUAGGUGUCAGUCACGGUGCGACCGUGAUUGGUGCCGUAGGGAAGCCGUGAAGCGAGCCACCUGGGAAGUAUGGCCGCAAGGCUGAAACUUAAAGGAAUUGGCGSGGSAGCACUACAACGGGUGGAGCCUGCGGUUUAAUG